rnacentral:lncRNA from 1 species
UUUUUUUAUUUUGUCUGGAAAAGCUGGGACCGGGCUGAGAGGAAACUAGAAAAUAUCUUCGAUAAAAUUCACGUGAUUUUAUCUUAUUUUUCUUCAUGUGAAUUGGCCUUACAACAAAGCAACUCUCGAUAAUCUAACAAAGCCUGGGUGGGUCUUGUUUCCAGAUGUCUAACUGGGUGAUCCUGUUCAAAUUUUUUUUAAAAAAAAAACGGAGAUUAUGCCGAUUGUUGCCCGAAUCAAAAGAAUGGAGGAGACUGACUUUUCAUGCCCCCCUUUCUGGUGCAGGUGUUCUGGGUUUCGGGUGGCUGAUGUGGUAGGGCAGCAGAUAACUAUGCCUUCCUGUUUCUAUGUUGAUCUGCUGCGCUUAAUUCUUGGGGCAUCCUACCUCAAUAGAUGAAGGGUGCAUGGAACCGGGGGGAGGAAGAUUAUUGUGUACAUGUGCACUUUUUUUGUGUGGAAAGGGAAUAAAAUCUGAAUGCCAUUUUUUGAUUAUUUUUGGGUUCGGACUCACUUGAUGAUUCAGUUGUAGAAUUAUUUCCGGAGAUCUCACUUCGUAACUGUAAAAUUUGAUGAAAAGAAGGUGCUUGAGAGUUUUUUUUUAAAAAAAAAAACAGGCAGGGAAAUCCAGAGCAGCUCCAUGUUUCAUCAAAGAUUGAUUGGCGUAAGGAAAGUGAAUAACCUAUUAAUGGCGACCAAUGCAUGUUGAUUCUGGCUAGUUGUUACCCCCAUCCAUGCCUAAAUAACUCGAUCGUGGUCUUCAUCCUCCCUGUGUAAACGGAGAGAAGAGGAUGCCAUAAAUGGCUGUUAAUUAAGCAAUGGGCAUCAAUUAAGGGGCUAUGAUUCGCAAUUAAUCAAG